GAUGAACGCUGGCGGCGUGCCUAACACAUGCAAGUCGAGCGAACACACGAGGAGAUUUCUCCCCUAACGUUAGCGGCUGACGGGCGGGUAACACGUGCAUAACCUACUACUUUGUCUGGGGUAAUAACGGGAGACCGGUUCUACUACUAGCUCAUAUAUUCUACCGGUUGAAUCAAUAGUUAUUCACGGCUUUCGCGUUAGUUUUAGCCGGUUUCGCGCCGGAUUAGCUAGUUGGUAAGGUAACGGCUUACCAAGGCUACGAUGCGUAGCCGACCUGAGAGGGUGAUCGGCCACACUGGAACUGAGACACGGUCCAGACUCCUACGGGAGGCAGCAGUAGGGAAUCUUGCGCAAUGGGCGAAAGCCUGACGGAGCAACGCCGCGUGAGUGAUGAAGGUCUUCGGAUCGUAAAGCUCUGUUAUUAGGAAAGAACAAAUGUGUAAGUAACUAUGCACGUCUUGACGGUACCUAAUCAGAAAGCCACGGCUAACUUCGUG
rnacentral:rRNA from 1 species